rnacentral:sRNA from 1 species
ACACAGAAAAUGUUAAAAGUAAAAUGAAGGGACUGAUGACGUUUGUGAUGCGUUAUUGUUUUCUAACAGCCAAACUACCUUUGGUUUAUAUGGAUUGUGACGGUAUAUUUAACUUUCCCCCUUGUUGCGUCGGAGAAAAAAUAGAUGAAAGCAAGCAGAUAUGUACAAAAUGCCCAAGAGGUUUAUCUGGUUAUAACUGUACUCAAAUAUGUGAGGUACCGUACUUUGGACAUCGCUGUGUGCUCGGGAGGUGCUCUUGUACUCGUGAUUCCUGUAACAUUCCACCAUCGAUAUGCUCCCCGAAGACAGAAACAGACGUCUCCGUAUCAACAUUGGUGCAUGCAAAUGCAAAAGUAACAAGAAACCAACGAGUCAAAAGGACAUCCGUGACUCCGGAUCCAUUCAGUGUAAAGCCGGAUACACGGGACGAGGACCCGGGACCCCGGGGUAGUGCUGCUGCUUCAAACAUCGUCUACAAUAUUCCCAUCACCUGUGUAUUGACUGUGUUCUUAUUGACGGUGUUAAUGUUUGUCUUUUGUAACAAACAUUGUCAGUUAUGCAAUAUUUAAAACAAAAAACGUCAUAUAGACAGCGACUAUGAGCUUCCAGCUAGAGUGUAUGAAAACAACGGAUCUACAAAUUGCUAUGACACCCCUGAUACCAACACAAAUAUUUCUCCAACUCAAGGCGCCAGUGAGUCGUCGUAUGAAUUUGUUGAACAAUUUCGAAAAGAUUUAUGAUGUAAACCCCCAUCUAAUUUUAAUAUUCAAUAAUGUGUGCUAGAAAAAAGAGUAAGAAAUAAAA